rnacentral:rRNA from 1 species
GUUAUACGGGGGGCAGCAGUGGGGGAUAUUGCACAAUGGGGGGAACCCUGAUGCAGCGACGCCGCGUGGGUGAAAAAGCGCCUCGGCGCGUAAAGCCCUGUCAGCAGGGAAGAAAAUGACGGUACCUGAAGAAGAAGCCCCGGCUAACUACGUGCCAGCAGCAGCGGUAAUACGUAGGGGGCAAGCGUUAUCCGGAUUUACUGGGUGUAAAGGGGGCGCAGACGGCGAUGCAAGCCAGGAGUGAAAGCCCGGGGCCCAACCCCGGGACUGCUCGUGGAAGUGCGGGGCUGGAGUGCAGGAGGGGG